rnacentral:rRNA from 1 species
CACGUAGUUAGCCGUGACUUCCUCGCCGGGUACCAUCACUCAGAAAGCUUUCCACUCUUUCUGCCUUUUGUCCCGGCAACAGAGCUUUACGAUCCGAAGACCUUCCUCGCUCACGCGGCAUUGCUCGUUCAGGGUUCCCCCCAUUGACGAAAAUUCCCUACUGCUGCCUCCCACAGGAGUCUGGGCCGUGUCUCAGUCCCAGUGUGGCCGUCCGCCCUCUCAGGCCGGCUAUGCAUCGUCGCCUUGGUGAGCCGUUACCUCUCCAACCAGCUAAUGCACCGCAGGUCCAUCUGCAUGCGGACUCUUCGUUCCCCUUUACAAAAAGAAGUAUCGCCUCCUUCUUUGCCUCAGUCCCGGUAUCUAGUCUUCCGUUUCCAGUAACGUUCUCCCGCUCAUGCAGGCUACGGUUCCCUA